GACGCCAGUCUGCAUGGAGCCGACCUUGAAAUACCACCCUUUAAUGUUUGAUGUUCUAACGUUGACCCGUGAUCCGGGUUGCGGACAGUGUCUGGUGGGUAGUUUGACUGGGGCGGUCUCCUCCUAAAGAGUAACGGAGGAGCACGAAGGUUGGCUAAUCCUGGUCGGACAUCAGGAGGUUAGUGCAAUGGCAUAAGCCAGCUUGACUGCGAGCGUGACGGCGCGAGCAGGUGCGAAAGCAGGUCAUAGUGAUCCGGUGGUUCUGAAUGGAAGGGCCAUCGCUCAACGGAUAAAAGGUACUCCGGGGAUAACAGGCUGAUACCGCCCAAGAGUUCAUAUCGACGGCGGUGUUUGGCACCUCGAUGUCGGCUCAUCACAUCCUGGGGCUGAAGUAGGUCCCAAGGGUAUGGCUGUUCGCCAUUUAAAGUGGUACGCGAGCUGGGUUUAGAACGUCGUGAGACAGUUCGGUCCCUAUCUGCCGUGGGCGCUGGAGAACUGAGGGGGGCUGCUCCUAGUACGAGAGGACCGGAGUGGACGCAUCACUGGUGUUCGGGUUGUCAUGCCAAUGGCACUGCCCGGUAGCUAAAUGCGGAAGAG
rnacentral:rRNA from 1 species